rnacentral:rRNA from 1 species
CAAGGAUUUCCCCAGUAACGGCGAGUGAACGGGAACAAGCCCAGCGCUGAAUCUCCUAGUUUUGCACUAGCGGGACAUGUAGCGUAAAGGUGGAAGUGUUCGUGCAUUUUGCGCACCCAAAGUCCCCUUGAGUGGGGCUACAGUCCACAGAAGGUGCUAGACCUGUACGGGUGACGGAGUGCCUGAUUGCUUGCUCCCUGGAGUCGGGUUGCCUGGGAUCGCAGCCCAAAGAGGGUGGUAAACCUCAUCUAAGGCUAAAUAUGACCGCGAAACCGAUAGCAAACAAGUACCGUGAGGGAAAGUUGCAAAGAACUUUGAAGAGAGAGUUCAAGAGGGCGUGAAACCGCUGAGAUGGAAACGGAUAGAGUUGACGAAACUCGGCGGCAUUCAACUGGUCAGCUGGGCGGUGACACGGUUUUGCGCCUCGAUGAGGGCAAUAACGUGUACACGUGUCUGGCGUCGGCUAGGGUAUUUGCCGUCGGUAUGCAUCGAGAGCCUCGGGCUCGCGUGUUGACGCGUGUGUAGUGGACCACUCCUUCCGGGUGUGGAACCCUUCGGUCGCAAAGACACGUCGGGUGUGAGGCGUGUGCGCGAUGUUGGCUGUUAGCGCAACGGUUGCUGCGCGUAAGGUGCCGGUGUUGGAUGGUGGCGUGCCACUUGUCUACGCUUGGUGCUGGCGCGCGGUGAUCCUUAUUGCGUUGGGCAUCGUUUCUCGGUGUGAACGUUGACCACCUGUCCGA